ACCAUACUUUAUUGUCAGUUUAUUAUUAUAUGUGUGUGAAUGUGAAUAUGGAAAUGUAGAUUAUGUUUCAGCUCUUCACCUGAUUCGGGUGUGGAGGUGGGUGUAGAUGUGGGUGUAGAUGUGGGUGUAGAUGUGGGUGAUGAUCCUGUAAAAUCAAAGGGGCGAAAUGAUGAUUUAUGAUGGAAAGCAUAUCAUUUGAGUGGAAGGCUUCGGUGGUUCUUUCUUAUACGAAUCUGCGAAAACAAGGGGAAUUCAGUUGAACAUAUUCCAUUGGAGCCACAUGAAACAAACAUCUCUAGAAAGAUCUAGAGACGAGGAGUCGAUUUACCUGCAGAAUUUUGAGGAAGGCUUUGGAGUUUGCAGAAUAGGCCUACAAGAGGGGCUGCUCCCGAUAAUGUUGGCUCAGUCUGCUCAUAAUUAGAUCUAUCAUCGAUGAACUCAUCGUUGGCAUUUGGCCCGCCGACAAGGGCUCCAUAUAUGAUGUUAGGAUUGGCCUCCAAGCGUUUGUACCACUUCUCAAAUCCAUCAACGCAUCCCACUGCAGAACGGAGAAGGGAGAUGGGGGCAAUAGACGCGCCUCUGUGAUGAACAUGGACCGGAUAGUUGUCACCACAGCCGACUACAUAGCUCAAGUUCUUGGGAUUCUUGCCAAGAAUGUAAUCAGCCUGCCCCAUAGAUUGGUCUCAGUAGCAAAUUCGACAGAAAACAGGAAGAAGAAGAUGAUAAGAUAUAUACUUGUGAUUUGGCAAAUACUAGGAGAUCUUGAGGCUGGAGCUGGGCAUCCGGGCAUUUCACAACACCUUUCGCCUUUGCAAGAUAUUCGGAGUAGACAACAAUAGCGAAUGCAGCAGAGGCAGAAUACUGCAGAUUGUUCCAUUGACGUAGAUAGAGCAGUCCACCUAAAGAGAACCAUAACAACAUUGUUCAAAAAUGGAUGUUUCCUGCAAGAAUAUGGUCGAAAAUGAUGAAAUCGAGGUGCUGAUGCAACUCACCAGGAGUCAUUGGGACGUUGUAGCCAUCGUUCUUCUGCAUGCAGGCACAUGUGAAGUAAUCAGCCUUGGCUUGAUAUUGCUGCAGUGUGGAAGUGUAUGCUCCUCCACCUCCAUCCAUCAAUACCUACACACAUUUCAGACCACAAGAACAAUCUGAACUCCAGCAUACUUGUUGUCCCAAGAGAACUCCUUCACAGCCCAUCCAGUUCCAUCCAAUGACUCACAGUUUUCGACGACGUAUUUCAGAUAAUACUCGUCAUUUGUAGCGCGAUACAGCCACGUUGCAGCCCACAGCAGCUCAUCCUAGGAUGCAAAAGUUCCAGAGUCAGUUCAAGAAACACAACAUUUUUUGAAGAAAAAAAUAAUCUUGGAGAUGGAUUCAAACACAUACUGAAUAACCAGUUGAUGUAUAGAACUGCUUAGCAGAUGGAACAGAAUCAUGGUAAAAGCCUCUGAAUCUGUCUGCAAAUGAGAAAAGCUGCUUAGCAUGCACCAACAGAAGAUCAGAGUACGCGGAAUCGUAAGACUUGAAGGCAAGGCAGGCAGCGGCCAGGGCAGCGGCGGUUUCCCCCGCGAGGUCCGACCCGGGAUUCUCGGGAUCCAGCUUGUACGCCAUCCUUGGGGUUGUCAUGUCCUCUGCACGCUCCCAGCAGUAAUGGUCCGACACUCCAUCUCCGACCUGACCACCGUCAGAAUCGAAAAAAUAAUAAUUGUGAAGUUGCCUUGUAGGCGGUCUAGUUGGUGAAGUGACGAGGUUAUGAUAAAAUGUUGCAUUGUACCUGUCCCCAAAGAACAUUUGGCUGAGGAUGUGCGUUUAUGAAGUAAUCAGUGCCCCAUUUGAUGGCUUCCAAAGUAGGUCCCAUUUGAUUGGACUUCACCAACUCUGUCUUGAAAUCAACGGCGCUCCAAGACAGCAUCGUCGUAGCGAACGCCAUGGGCAGUCCGAACUUUACAUGAUCUCCCCCAUCGUAAUAUCCUCCAACCAAGUUCACCUGUUAAUGUAGAGCAAGUGUGCUUAUGUUUAUGCGCUUACUCGUAUUUUUGCGCCUAGAUGAAAUGAAGAUUAAAUAGUGAAGUCUAAGGUACGAACCCCUUGACCAUGACCAUCGCCAAGGCCUGAGUCACCCCGCCAUUUGACGUGCUGGUUUGCGGGUAGUUUACCCGACCGUUGUGCCUCGAAGAACAACAAAGUCUUGGUGAGGGCGUCGCCGUAGUCGAAUGCAGAGAUGAUGGUUGGGUGGAGGGAAAGUAAGGCAGCGAGCAAGGGCAGUAUGUAACGUGAUCGUGAUGGUGACUCUCUCAUCAUCUUGUUUUGUGUUGAGCAAGCUAAUGAGAUGAUCAGUUCUAUGUACUAUAUAUAUGAUGAUCUCUAUAUAACAAAGUUUGAUUACUAUUAUUAAUU